GAUGUGUGUUGCACGUCGAUGGUUGAUCGAUAUGUACAUCAAUAAGCUCAACAUGCGCGGAUCAAGAUCAAGGAUUGAUUGAAGAUGGAUCAAGUAGUUGAUCACAAUUGGACCUAGAGGAUCAAGAUCGAGUCAAGAGUUGAAGACGAUCAAACCAAUUGACGUGCAUGUGCUUGUAAAAUGACCCCAUCCUGGAUCCAUGAUUAUCACCAUUUAAUUUUAUUUUUGAUAAAUGCCUGGAUGUUUAAUGCUUAUGAUUAUGCGGGUAGACUUAUAUUUGCAUGAGAUGUGAAUACGCGAUCGAGUGAGACCUAAAUCGAAACCUCCCUAAUCAGUCGAGGGUGAAACAACAUGAGUUAGUCAUAUUAGAUUAAUUGCUCUAAUUGGUGUCUAGGCAAGCCUAUAAGGUGGUUACUUAAUUAGGACCUUACUCUCUGAGUAAGGGGAGCCUCCCACCUGCUUACCUGGCCAAUUGUUCGAUUACCUCUUAUGAAGAACUCAAGUUGCAAACACUAAGACUUGAUUAUGCAAUAUUAAGUCCAUAGGUCUUCUACCGUA
rnacentral:lncRNA from 1 species